AAACACAACAAUAGGGUUAGGGUGGCAUAUCAAGAAAAACAAACAGGGAAGGGGAGGAGGCGGGACCACAAAGUUCAUGGGGGACAGACCAGGGUGGGUGGGUGGGGUAGGAGUCUUAGGAGGACGGGACGAAGGCUGACAACGAGGGGUUCGGGCAGGUCUGGGUGGUCUAGGGUGGGGAGUGGUCUCAGGACCAUUUACAACAGAGGACAUGACAGGAGAACUCACGUGACACGGGGAAACAUCUACUGGACACGGGGAAACACCUACGGGACACGGGGAAACACCUACUGGACACGGGGAAACACCUACUGGACACGGGGAAACACCUACGGGACACGGGGAAACAUCAACGGGACACAUGACAACAUCAGCUGGACAUGGGGCAACGCUCACGGGACACGGGGCAACGUUCACAGGACACGGGGCAAGAUCAGGGGAGACAGAAACUGGGUCAGGAGUAGCACUAACUGUGGUUGGCUCGGGAUCUCUGGGGACAGGGUCAGGGGACAAGACAGGACUGGUGGGGAUCUCCAGGAUCUGGACAAAAUGGGACAAAUAAUCAGACAAGGCUUUGGCGGCAAUAAUAACCGGCAUCUCCUUACGAGACGAGACAGACUGUAUCAAAGUUUCUGCUGCAGAGUCGGCCGCGGCUCUCUCCUCCGCCCUCACGACAGCAGACUUGAAACCUGUUCUCUUAUUCACUGGCUCGGGCACGCCAGCGCUCUCCGCUGCUCGCUCGGGCACGCCAGCGCUCUCCGCUGCUCGCUCGGGCACGCCAGCGCUCUCCGCUGCUCGCUCGGGCACGCUCACCGCUGCUGGCUCGGGCACGCUCACCGCUGCUGGCUCGGGCACGCCAGCGCUCUCCGCUGCUGGCACAGGAGGAGGCAGGGUCACAGGACCGGCAGGCCCCUUCUUCUUCCUCUUCCUCCUUGGGCGCGGUGCAGAGGCCACAGCUGGGUCAGAGGCGGGUUGGGGGAGUUUGGCCUCAGGCAGAGCAGACUCUGA
ensembl:lncRNA